GGCGCUGUGGCUCAAGUGGUAGAGCGUUAGCCUCAUGCUGAAGAGCUCAGGGACAGCGCCU
rnacentral:tRNA from 1 species